rnacentral:rRNA from 1 species
UACGUAGGCAGCAAGCGUUGUUCGGAGUUACUGGGCGUAAAGGGUGUGUAGGCGGUUGUUUAAGUUUGGUGUGAAAUCUCCCGGCUCAACUGGGAGGGUGCGCCGAAUACUGAAUGACUCGAGUGCGGGAGAGGAAAGUGGAAUUCCUGGUGUAGCGGUGAAAUGCGUAGAUAUCAGGAGGAACACCGGUGGUGUAGACGGCUUUCUGGACCGUAACUGACGCUGAGACACGAAGGCGUGGGUAGCAAACAGG